AGAAUCAACGCUGGCGGCGUGCCUCAGACAUGCAAGUCGAACGCGAAAUCCCGAGCAAUCGGGAAAGUAGAGUGGCGCACGGGUGAGUAACACGUAGGUAAUCUACCUUCGGAUGGGGAAUAACAACCGGAAACGGUUGCUAAUACCGCAUAAUGCAGCGGCACCUAAUGGUGACAGUUGUUAAAGCGGGGGAUCGAAAGACCUCGCGUCUGAAGAGGAGCCUGCGGUGGAUUAGCUAGUUGGUAAGGUAAUGGCUUACCAAGGCAACGAUCC
rnacentral:rRNA from 1 species